GAUUAUUUUGGCAAUGUCACAUUAUGAAUCCAUUAUUUAUAAAGACUAAGGAAUAAAAUGAUAGUCGUGCCAAAGAAAAUUAUUUUUAUGACUUAAAUCUUAAAAAGCCCAGUGGCGCUACCGUAUUCCUUUAAC